GGGGACGUUCUUGGAUUCGACAGGGGUCCCCCGAGCUUAUUAAGCGUGUCGGAGGGUUGGCUCCGUCAUCAACACAUUUCGGUUAAAUAUAACUGACAAAUCAAACAAUAAUUUCGCAGUAGCUGCGUAAUAGCCACUGCAUCGCCUAACAGCAUCUCCUACGUGCUGUUAACGCGAUUCAACCCUAGUAGGAUAUGCUAAACACUGCCGCUUGAAGUCUGUUUAGAUGAA
rnacentral:tmRNA from 1 species